GUGCUCACUUUGACAGCACAUAUACUAAAAUUGGAUCAAUGCACAGAUUAGCAUGGCCCCUGCACAAGGAUGACACACAAAUUCGUGAAGCAUUCAGUAUUUUU